AUUGUGUUGGAGCCAGUCUCUUCCACUGCCAGCAAGAGAAAAACCAGCUCUGAAGAACAAAUACUAGUAUCUGUUAAAAAAUUGUGCCUUAACAAAAAAUAUGGAUUUAAAAAAAAUUAACGCAACGUCUCUAAUUACAGAGAGAAAACCAAUAACAAAAAUACAA